AUAGUAUUAUAGAUAGAGAUAAACUGUAAACAGCAAUAAUGUUCAGCAAAAUAAGAUCUACAAAGAAGUGAACAUGACCAAAAUUUUUUAUUGACCCCUUAAGGAGUUAUUGCCCUUAAUAGUCUAUUGUUAACAAUUUUCAUAAAUUUUUGUUAAUUUUUGUAAAUUUUUAGGAAUUAUUUUCCACUGUAUUUACUGGGCAAGUUAUUAUAGAUAGAGAUAAUGAGUAACAAGAAUGUUCAGUAAAGAAAGAUCUAUAAACACAUUACCAUCACCAAAACACCAUUUUGUCAUGAAUUUAUCUGUGUCAAUUGUUAAUAUGCACAUAGACCAAGGUGAGCGACACAGGCUCUUGAGAGCCUCUAGUUGGUUAUUAUCUUGAAUACUUUUAUAGAUACGAUAAACUGUAAACAGAAAUAAUGUUCAGCAAAGUAAGAUCUACAAAUUAGUCAACUUGACCAAAAUGGUCAGUUGACCCUUUAAGGAGUAAUGGUCCUUCAUAGUAAUUUUUUAACAAUUUUCAUAAAUUUGGUAAAUUUUUGUCAACUUUUACAAAAUGUUUUCCUCUGCAACUAAAGGGCCAAGUUUAUCAUGGAUAGAGAAAAUUGUAAGUAGCAAGAAUGUUCAGUAAAGUAAGAUCUACAAACACAUCACCAUCAUCAAAACACAAUUUUGUCAUGAAUCCAUCUGUGUCCUUUGUUUUUAAUACAUGUAUGCACAUAGACCAAGAUGAGCGACACAGGCUCUUAAGAGCCUCUAGUUGUUAACUGUCCCAUUCUUUAGUUAGAAAUAUCAAGAUUUUGAAGUUGAAAGGCUAAUUGUUAAUUUAAAUGUUAAGAUUAAUUGUUUUGCAAGUUUUUCACAAAUAAUCAAGACGUAAAUUGAUAAAUAACAUGGCAUCACAAAUAAUAUUAUUUUUAUUAUUAGUUUAGAUUUUUUUUACAGUAGUUUUAGUAUAAGAAAAUAGUUUUUUUUAAUGUUCACAUUGCCUUCCCUUAUUAUUUUACAUAUUUAAUAACUUUUGAUUUGAUUUUUUUAAUUCAAGUGUAAAACGAAUUUGUUUAGCGGGUAGUGAUGUGGCUUGGUCAACUACACCGAAGAGUCGAUGGUCAAUACGUAAUCAGUUUAAUGAUCUUUAAACUUGAUUAAUGUGACAGAUUAUACGGUACAAGAGUUGCACAGUAGAUUUGCAAUAACAUUUUUUAAGUUUAUGAAUAUACUCUAAGACCAUAAAGAAAUGCUUAAUCUAAAUUGAGAACAUAUGUGGAAUUAUCAAGUUGUAUUAUUUCUUAUACAUGUACUGUUAUAUGAAGAUUAUAUAUGUGAUUAAACAUGUG
rnacentral:lncRNA from 1 species